GGCGGCGUGCCUAAUACAUGCAAGUAGAACGCUGAAGCUUGGUGCUUGCACCGAGCGGAUGAGUUGCGAACGGGUGAGUAACGCGUAGGUAACCUGCCUGGUAGCGGGGGAUAACUAUUGGAAACGAUAGCUAAUACCGCAUAAUAGUAGAUGUUGCAUGACAUUUGCUUAAAAGGUGCAAUUGCAUCACUACCAGAUGGACCUGCGUUGUAUUAGCUAGUUGGUGAGGUAACGGCUCACCAAGGCGACGAUACAUAGCCGACCUGAGAGGGUGAUCGGCCACACUGGGACUGAGACCACGGCCCAGACUCCUACGGGAGGCAGCAGUAGGGAAUCUUCGGCAAUGGACGGAAGUCUGACCGAGCAACGCCGCGUGAGUGAAGAAGGUUUUCGGAUCGUAAAGCUCUGUUGUAAGAGAAGAACGAGUGUGAGAGUGGAAAGUUCACACUGUGACGGUAUCUUACCAGAAAGGGACGACUAACUACGUG
rnacentral:rRNA from 1 species